rnacentral:rRNA from 1 species
CAGUCGCCGCGGUAAUGCGUAGGUGGCAAGCGUUGUCCGGAAUUAUUGGGCGUAAAGGGCUCGCAGGCGGUUUCUUAAGUCUGAUGUGAAUGCCCCCGGCUCAACCGGGGAGGGUCAUUGGAAACUGGGAAACUUGAGUGCAGAAGAGGAGAGUGGAAUUCCACGUGUAGCGGUGAAAUGCGUAGAGAUGUGGAGGAACACCAGUGGCGAAGGCGACUCUCUGGUCUGUAACUGACGCUGAGGAGCGAAAGCGUGGGGAGCGAACAGGAUUAGAUACCCCAGUAGUCCCUGUCUCUUAUAC